GGAGGGAGUCUAGGAGAGAUCUAGGAGUGCUUCCCAUGGGAGGCCGGUUGGAGUUGGGACUUGAGGGUGGUGCUUAGGAUUUUUAUGCUGCUGGAGCCUGGGCUGAGCCAGGAAGGUGAGAGAGGCCUGGAUGGAGGGGGGCCCAGGGAGGCGCAGUGUCCGGCUGAUGGAUUAGAAAGGCAGGUGUGUUUUUCUCCAUAACUGGUAGCCGUCCUUCUAGAUUUUUGAGGAUGGAAGUGACUUAACCAGGAGUUUGUACCACAUGUACUGGGGAUCCUGACGUUGGGGCCCUUGAGCAGGGGCUUCCGCUUCUCAGGAGCUCCCCCAAACGAUGAGCCGCAAGGCCUAGACCCUGUUCUUCAACUCCCACUGCACGACCUGGAGGGAGUUGUCGUCACCCCGUGGAUUGCAAAGUUGACAUCCACCCUCCAUUCAGAGGCAGGUCUGCCAAGGUAGGAGGGAAGAUGGUGUCUCUGCAGUGCUUGUGUUUGUUUGCAGUGUCGGUAAGCAAACAGAAAAGAAACAAAAACUGUUUCUCUAAAAUAGAUAUAUGAGUCUUCUGUGUAUCCUAGGAAGAGCUGUUUCUAAAGAGUUUCUAGAAAACGGCAUGAGCCAGGUCAGCAUCCCUGAACCCGGGCAGAGGCGAGAGGCGGCAUGGCGUUGCGCCAGGGCCACCAGGCUUGGCGCUGGACAGGCAGUGAUUUCACCUCGGCCUUGCUGCCUCCUAACCGCAUCCCUCUCAGGUAGAUCACUUAAGUGCCCUUAGCCUCAGUUUUGCCGUCUGCAAAGUGGAAACCACCUUCCAGGCUUGUGUUGUUUGUUUCAAGAGCCCUGCUUCUUGCACUCAACCUGCACGUUUUGUUUCACGUAUCUUUUAAAAGAAUGCUCCUGCAGUUGGCCUCGCAGGUGAAUGAGGAUCGCAGUUCAGCCGUGCCUGGCCCCUGUCUGGCGCUCAGGAGACACAGCCCCUCUUUCCCUGUCUCACAGGCUGAGCCUCCUCUUGCUGUUCACCUCCCCAGAGGCCCAGCCCCCAGUGGGUUUUGAGUUCCAGGAAGCAGGCACACGUGGUGGCCAUUGGGCACACGUGGUGGCCUGUAACAUGCAGCCACGCCCACGGGGAGAGUUUUGAAGCAUCUGUGCCUUGCAGAGGAGGC
ensembl:lncRNA